rnacentral:rRNA from 1 species
CGUCAAGAAAGAUAAGGGCAUAUAGUGGAUGCCUUGGCAUUGAGAGGCGACGAAGGACGUAGCACGCUGCGAUAAGCCUCGGGGAGCCGCGAGCAGGCUUUGAUCCGGGGAUUUCCGAAUGGGGAAACCCACCGCUUUAGCGGUAUCAUAUAGUAAAUUCAUAGCUGUAUGAAGCAAACCCGGCGAACUGAAACAUCUAAGUAGCCGGAGGAAAGGACAUCAACAGAGACUCCGUUAGUAGUGGCGAGCGAACGCGGAUGAGGCCAGUAGUUUGUUGCAAUGGUACUGGAACGGUCUGGAAAGACCGGCCAUAGUGGGUGAUAGCCCCGUACGGAAAACCUAGUAACAAAUUCUUGAGUAGGGCGGGGCACGUGAAACCUUGUCUGAAUAUGGGGGGACCACCCUCCAAGCCUAAGUACUCCUCAAUGACCGAUAGCGAACUAGUACCGUGAGGGAAAGGUUAAAAGUACCCCUAUGAGGGGAGUGAAAUAGUACCUGAAACUGUAUGCUUACAAGCUGUGGGAGCCGCUUCGUGCGGUGACCGCGUACCUUUUGUAUAAUGGGUCAGCGAGUUAGUUUACGUAGCAAGCUUAAGCCGAUAGGUGUAGGCGUAGCGAAAGCGAGUCUGAAUAGGGCGAAUAAGUUACGUGGAUUAGACCCGAAACCGAGUGAUCUAGCUAUGGGCAGGUUGAAGGUGCGGUAACACGCACUGGAGGACCGAACCCACCGAUGUUGAAAAAUCGGGGGAUGACCUGUUGCUAGGGGUGAAAGGCCAAUCAAACUCGGAUAUAGCUGGUUCUCCGCGAAAACUAUUUAGGUAGUGCGUCGUGUAUUACUACCGGGGGUAGAGCACUGGAUGGGCUAGGGGGGCCUACCGCCUUACCAAACCUAACCAAACUCCGAAUACCGGUAAGUACAGCACGGCAGACAGACGGCGGGUGCUAAGGUCCGUCGUCGAAAGGGAAACAGCCCAGACCGACAGCUAAGGUCCCAAAGUUAUGGCUAAGUGGAAAAGGAUGUGGGAAGCCCAAAACAACCAGGAGGUUGGCUUAGAAGCAGCCACCCUUUAAAGAAAGCGUAACAGCUCACUGGUCUAGAUUUAAGGCAGCCUGCGCCGAAAAUGUAUCGGGGCUAAAGCCAUACACCGAAGCUUCGGGCACUUGAGUAUCUUUGAUGCUCAGGUGCGGUAGCGGAGCGUUCCGUAAGCCUGUAAAGGCAAAUCGUGAGGUUUGCUGGAGGUAUCGGAAGUGAGAAUGCUGACAUGAGUAGCGAGAAGAGUGUGAGAAACACUCUCCCCGGAAGUUCAAGGGUUCCUGCGCAAGGCUAAUCCGCGCAGGGUGAGCCGGCCCCUAAGGCGAGGGCGAAAGCCGUAGUCGAUGGGAACCAGGUUAAUACUCCUGGGCCUGCUAGUAGUGACGAAUUCUGUAUGUUGUUUCUCCUUAUUGGAUUGGUAGAAGCAGCGAAAGAGUUCCAGGAAAUAGCUCUAGCAUAUAGACCGUACCCUAAACCGACACAGGUAGACAGGUAGAGUAUACCAAGGGGAUUGAGAGAACGACGUUGAAGGAACUCGGCAAAAUGACCCCGUAACUUCGGGAGAAGGGGUACCUUUUUUAGGGCAACCUGAAAAGGGUGGCACAGACUAGGGGGUGGCGACUGUUUACUAAAAACAUAGGGCUCUGCGAAGUCGCAAGACGACGUAUAGGGUCUGACGCCUGCCCGGUGCCGGAAGGUUAAGGAGAGGGGUGCAAGCUCUGAACCGAAGCCCCGGUAAACGGCGGCCGUAACUAUAACGGUCCUAAGGUAGCGAAAUUCCUUGUCGGGUAAGUUCCGACCUGCACGAAUGGCGUAACGACUUCCCCGCUGUCUCCAACGUCGACUCAGCGAAAUUGAAUUCUCCGUGAAGAUGCGGAGUUCCCGCGGUCAGACGGAAAGACCCCGUGCACCUUUACUACAACUUUGCAGUGUCAUCAGAAGUUGAAUGUGUAGGAUAGGUGGGAGUCUAUGAAACGUUGGCGCCAGUUAGCGUGGAGACAACCUUGAAAUACCACCCUUUAAAUUUUUGUUGUCUAACCGCAGUCCGUUAUCCGGAUUCGGGACCCUGCAUGGUGGGUAGUUUGACUGGGGCGGUCGCCUCCCAAAGAGUAACGGAGGCGCGCGAUGGUGGGCUCAAGCUGGUCGGAAAUCAGCUGUUGAGUGCAAUGGCAUAAGCCUGCCUGACUGCGAGACUGACAAGUCGAGCAGAGACGAAAGUCGGUCAUAGUGAUCCGGUGGUCCCGCGUGGAAGGGCCAUCGCUCAACGGAUAAAAGGUACGCCGGGGAUAACAGGCUGAUGACCCCCAAGAGUCCAUAUCGACGGGGUCGUUUGGCACCUCGAUGUCGGCUCAUCACAUCCUGGGGCUGGAGCAGGUCCCAAGGGUUCGGCUGUUCGCCGAUUAAAGUGGUACGUGAGCUGGGUUUAGAACGUCGUGAGACAGUUCGGUCCCUAUCUGCCGUGGGUGUAGGAAAAUUGAGAGGAGCUGCCCUUAGUACGAGAGGACCGGGGUGGACGCACCUCUGGUGGACCGGUUGUAACGCCAGUUGCAUUGCCGGGUAGCUAAGUGCGGAAAGGAUAACCGCUGAAAGCAUCUAAGCGGGAAACCUGCCUCAAAACUAGUUUUCCCUUGAGAGCCGUGGAAGACCACCACGUUGAUAGGCUGGGUGUGGAAGUAUGGCAACAUAUGAAGCUUACCAGUACUAAUAGCUCGAUUGACUUGAUACU